GAUGAACGCUGGCGGCGUGCCUAAUACAUGCAAGUCGAGCGAACUGAUUAGAAGCUUGCUUCUAUGACGUUAGCGGCGGACGGGUGAGUAACACGUGGGCAACCUGCCUAUAAGACUGGGAUAACUUCGGGAAACCGAAGCUAAUACCGGAUAGGAUCUUCUCCUUCAUGGGAGAUGAUUGAAAGAUGGUUUCGGCUAUCGCUUACAGAUGGGCCCGCGGUGCAUUAGCUAGUUGGUGAGGUAACGGCUCACCAAGGCAACGAUGCAUAGCCGACCUGAGCGGGUGAUCGGCCACCCUGGGACUGAGACACGGCCCAGACUCCUACGGGAGGCAGCAGUAGGGAAUCUUCCGCAAUGGACGAAAGUCUGACGGAGCAACGCCGCGUGAGUGAUGAAGGCUUUCGGGUCGUAAAACUCUGUUGUUAGGGAAGAACAAGUACAAGAGUAACUGCUUGUACCUUGACGGUACCUAACCAGAAAGCCACGGCUAACUACGUGCCAGCCGCCGCCGUAAUAC
rnacentral:rRNA from 1 species